AUGGAGAGACAUUAUUCACGUUUGGUGGUAGAAUCAUCUUACUCAGACUUGGUCAUCAAUGUGGGAAGAGUAACUCUUGGUGAAAGUAACAGAAAAAGGCUGCAGAAAGUUCAGAGAGAGAAAGAGAAGAUGAAAGUGAGCCAGGCUGCAUGUGCUUUAUUAAACUCAGGAGGAGGAGUGAUUCAACUGGAAAUGGCAAACAACGAUGAAAAUCUUGUGGAGAUGGGGCUGGAUUUAGAAGAAGCUUUGAGAACGCUUAUUCUGUUUUCAAAUCUGCAAGCUUUCUUCGAGACAAAGCAACAAGGGAGUUGUUACUACAUUUUUGUGAAGUCUUGGAGCAGCGACACUCUUCUUGAAAACACUUCUGUUAAGCCCCGCAUUUGUAGCCUGAGUUCUUCGUUAUACUGUAGAUCCGGCACUUCUGUGUUUCUCAUGGAUUCAGGAAAAGCAUUCCAUUUCCUGAAAACCAAGAAAACAAAUGCAAAAAGAACCUCAGGGAAAGAACCUUUUGGUGAAAUUUUCAAGGUUAUACAUCCAGACCUCCGUGACGUGGAUCCUACUGUUUUUCAAAAAGACCAUUUUGAACAUGGUGAAGUCAUGCCUUUUCCUGAGUCUCAAUUCAUAGAGUUUAAGCAGUUCGCUACAAAACACAUUGAAAAAUAUACGAAAGACACAAUUUUAGAGUAUAUCCCUGCAUUUGCGAACACUGAAGGAGGCUAUCUUGUUAUUGGCGUGGAUGAUAAAAGUAGGAAAGUUCUAGGAUGUGCUAAAGAAAAUGUUGACCGUGACUCUUUGAAAAAGAAAAUAGAAGAAGCAAUACAAAAAUUGUCUUGUGUCCAUUUUUGCCAAUCUCAAUGCCAGAUAGAUUUCACAGUCAAAAUCUUGGAUGUGUUAGCCAAGGGAGAGCUAUAUGGCUAUGCUUGUGUAAUCGGAGUGAAGCGAUUCUGUGGUGCAGUGUUCUCGGGCGUUCCCAGUUCCUGGAUGGUGAAGGGUAACGAUGUUUGCAGCCUGACAACUGAGGAAUGGCUAAGCAUGAUGAUGGAUACAGAUCCAGAUCUUACAGAGCUGUGCAAAGACUUUGAAUCUCAGCUGAGUCUGUCUAACAGCCCUCCUCAGAGCAGACCAGUGUACUCCAAGAAAGGUCUGAAACAUAAGAAGGAGCUCCAACAACUCUUAUUUCCAGUGACAUCAGAAGGUCUGAAAUACACGCCUGAAUCUCUCCAGGAGGAACUGUUCUCGCAGAAUGAAGGUUUGAAGGAAUUAAUGAAAAGGCAAAUAGACCGAGUCUCCCAGGGAAUUUUAAUCCUUUCUACAAGCUGGGCUGUGGACCUGAACUUGGAAGAGAAGCAAGGAGUCAUCUGUGAUGCUCUGCUGAUAGCGCAGAACAAGCCGCCCAUCCUCUACACCAUCCUCAGGGAGCAAGACGCAGAGGGGCGGUCCUAUUGCACUCGCACCGCCUUCGCUCUGAAGCAGAAGCUGGUGAACGUGGGAGGCUACACUGGAAAUCUGUGUAUCACGACCAAGGUCCUCCACCUGAGUCCCGAGAGCAGUGCACAGUCCUCGGCAGGUUCAGGCUCUGUGAUUGAUUACCCCAGUUCCUAUCACCUCGCAGACAUUCAGCAAAUGGAAGCUUUGCUGCAGUCCCUUGUGAUCGUCUUGCUUGGCUUCCGGUCUCUCUUGAGUGACCAGCUCGGCUGUGAGGUUUUAAAUCUGCUCACAGCCAAGCAGUAUAAGAUCUUCUCAAAAAACCUCCGCAAGAGCAAAGAGUUGUUUAUCCAUGGCUUACCUGGCUCAGGGAAGACGAUCAUGGCCAUAAAGAUCAUGGAGAAGAUCAGGAACACGUUUCACUGUGAGACAAAUGAAAUUCUCUACAUUUGUGAGAACCAGCCUUUGAGGAAUUUUAUCAGGGGCAAAAAUAUCUGCCAGGCAGUGACCCGGAAGAGCUUCAUGAAACAUGACUUUAGUUACAUUCAACACAUCAUCAUCGAUGAAGCUCAGAAUUUCCGCACUGAAGAUGGGGAUUGGUAUAGAAAGGCGAAAACCAUCACUCAGAGAGACGUGGAUUGCCCAAGAAUUCUCUGGAUCUUUCUGGACUACUUUCAGACCAGCCACGUGGAGCACAUCGGCCUCCCUGUUCUCUCAGCCCAGUAUCCAAGGGAAAAGCUCACCAGAGUGGUACGCAAUGCAGGUCAAAUAGCAGGAUACAUCCAAUAUAUAUUGCAGAAGGUCAGGAAAAAUCCUCCUUGUAACAUCCCCCAUGAGCCCCUGAAGAUGUGUCUUGAAGCUAAAUGGGCUAGGGAUGUGCAGGGAACCUUAAAUAUUAAGAACUUAACUCUGAAUGCAAUAGUGAUGCACGUGGCAGACACGUGCAAGCUUCUCUUUGAAAGGGGCUAUUCUCCCAAGGAUGUUGCUGUGCUUGUGAGCACCACAAAAGAUGUGGAGAAAUACCGGCAGAAGCUCUUGCAAGCAAUGAGGAGUAAAGGGAUAGAGUGUCUCACCAAUGAGAGUGACGUGGGGGGUGAUCACAUGGUGUUGGACAGUGUCCGAAGAUUCUCAGGUCUGGAAAGGAGCAUUGUGUUUGGGAUCCAUCCAAGCACCGUGGAGCCAGCUAUCUCAUACAACAUUCUAGUCUGUCUGGCAUCCAGAGCAAAUCAACAGCUACAUAUUCUGUGGCAGCGUGACGUUUAA
rnacentral:lncRNA from 1 species